GUUGUAUGGUUAAGUGACUAAGCGUACACGGUGGAUGCCUAGGCAGUCAGAGGCGAUGAAGGACGUACUAACUUGCGAUAAGCGUAGAUGAGGCAGUAAGAGCCACUUGAGUCUACGAUUUCCGAAUGGGGAAACCCAACUGCAUAAGCAGUUAUCUCAAUGUGAAUU
rnacentral:rRNA from 1 species